CCCGCUCAGAAACUUAAAGGAAUUGACGGGGCCCGCACAAGCGGUGGAGCAUGUGGUUUAAUUCGAUGCAACGCGAAGAACCUUACCUACUCUUGACAUCCAGAGAACUUUCCAGAGAUGGAUUGGUGCCUUCGGGAACUCUGAGACAGGUGCUGCAUGGCUGUCGUCAGCUCGUGUUGUGAAAUGUUGGGUUAAGUCCCGCAACGAGCGCAACCCUUAUCCUUUGUUGCCAGCGGUUCGGCCGGGAACUCAAAGGAGACUGCCAGUGAUAAACUGGAGGAAGGUGGGGAUGACGUCAAGUCAUCAUGGCCCUUACGAGUAGGGCUACACACGUGCUACAAUGGCAUAUACAAAGAGAAGCGACCUCGCGAGAGCAAGCGGACCUCAUAAAGUAUGUCGUAGUCCGGAUUGGAGUCUGCAACUCGACUCCAUGAAGUCGGAAUCGCUAGUAAUCGUAGAUCAGAAUGCUACGGUGAAUACGUUCCCGGGCCUU
rnacentral:rRNA from 1 species